rnacentral:lncRNA from 1 species
AGAAAAUUCAGGUUAUCAAGGAAUUUUCACAUUUUGUACAUAAAUCAGGCCGUUAGUUUUCUCGUUUGAAUUGUUUUUACAUUUAUCAUUUCGGGGUCUUUUAUAGAUGACUAUAAGGUUAGGGUUUUGCUCAUUGUUGAUUGCAUAUAGAAAUAAGAUUGUUAUAUAUGCCACUGGACGAACACUAAUUGUGAAUAUUUUGAUGGGAAACUAUUGAGUAUCAAAGUUCCAAAUUAAUUUCGGGAUUUAUUUUCUUUCUCGGUAUUCAAUAACAGAAAAAAAAAUAAAUUGCUUGUCCGCUUAAUAGGGGUAUUCUUGUUAAACAUCGUUAAAAAGAUGUGUGUCUAAGGUGAACGCCACAAGAACCCUGUAAUACUAGUACGAGAGUAUAGCAUGUAAACAUUCCUUCUUAAUGAUAUGGUUGUUUUGGAAAUCUUUUCAUACAACUCAUGUCGGCGCUAACAUGGUCCUUUAGUUUAUUUUUUUUUUCCCAAAAAUCCAAUUUCACGUUUCCGC